rnacentral:rRNA from 1 species
GACGAACGCUGGCGGCGUGCUUAACACAUGCAAGUCGAGCGGAGCGGCGAACGGGUGAGUAACGCGUGAGUAACUGCCCCCCUCUCUGGGAUAACAGUUGGAAACGGCUGCUAAUACCGGAUAGUGGGGGAUGAAUCGCGUCCUAUCAGCUUGUUGGUGGGGUAGGGGCCUACCAAGGCGACGACGGUUAGCCGGCCUGAGAGGGCGACCGGCGACAAUAGGCUAAGAGACGGACCAAACUCCAACGGGGGGCAGCAGUGGGGAGUAUUGCCCAGUGGGGGAGACCGUGAUGCAGAAGCGCCGCGGGCGGGAUGACGGCCUUCGGGUGGUAAACCGCUUUCAGCCAUGACGCGGUAGUGGCAGAAGAAGCACCGGCUAACUACGUGCCAGCAGCCGCGGUAAUAC